rnacentral:lncRNA from 1 species
CCCAGGUGCAGCUGGUGCAGUCUGGCCAUGAGGUGAAGCAGCCUGGGGCCUCAGUGAAGGUCUCCUGCAAGGCUUCUGGUUACACUUGAACCCAAGGGGUAGUUGGGAUUACAGGCACCCGCCACCAUGCCCGGUGAAUUUUUGUAUUUUUAGUAGAGACGGGGUUUCACCAUGUUAGCUAGGCUGGUCUCAACUCCCCCCCAGCCCUUUGGGAGGCCGAGGCGGGCAGAUCACCUGAGGUCUGGAGUUCCAC